rnacentral:rRNA from 1 species
GACGAACGCUGGCGGCGUGCUUAACACAUGCAAGUCGAACGGAAAGGCCCUGCUUUUGUGGGGUGCUCGAGUGGCGAACGGGUGAGUAACACGUGAGUAACCUGCCCUUGACUUUGGUAUAACUUCAGGAAACUGGGGCUAAUACCGUAUAGGAGCUCCUGCUGCAUGGUGGGGGUUGGAAAGUUUCGGCGGUUGGGGAUGGACUCGCGGCUUAUCAGCUUGUUGGUGGGGUAGUGGCUUACCCAGGCUUUGACGGGUAGCCGGCCUGAGAGGGUGACCGGCGACAUUGGGACUGAGAUACGGCCCAGACUCCUACGGGAGGCAGCAGGGGGGAAUAUUGCACAAUGGGCGGAAGCCUGAUGCAGCAACGCCGCGUGCGGGAUGACGGCCUUCGGGUUGUAAACCGCUUUCGCCUGUGACGAAGCGUGAGUGACGGUAAUGGGUAAAGAAGCACCGGCUAACUACGUG